rnacentral:rRNA from 1 species
CCUACGGGAGGCAGCAGUGGGGAAUUUUGGACAAUGGGCGCAAGCCUGAUCCAGCAAUGCCGCGUGAGUGAAGAAGGCCUUCGGGUUGUAAAGCUCUUUUGUCAGGGAAGAAACGGUGGUUCCUAAUACGGACUACUAAUGACGGUACCUGAAGAAUAAGCACCGGCUAACUACGUGCCAGCAGCCGCGGUAAUACGUAGGGUGCAAGCGUUAAUCGGAAUUACUGGGCGUAAAGCGUGCGCAGGCGGUUAUAUAAGUCAGAUGUGAAAUCCCCGGGCUCAACCUGGGAACUGCAUUUGAGACUGUAUGGCUAGAGUGUGUCAGAGGGGGGUAGAAUUCCACGUGUAGCAGUGAAAUGCGUAGAUAUGUGGAGGAAUACCGAUGGCGAAGGCAGCCCCCUGGGAUAACACUGACGCUCAUGCACGAAAGCGUGGGGAGCAAACAGGAUUAGAUACCCUGGUAGUCCACGCCCUAAACGAUGUCUACUAGUUGUCGGGACUUAAUUGUCUUGGUAACGCAGCUAACGCGUGAAGUAGACCGCCUGGGGAUACGGUCGCAAGNUUAAAACCUUAAAUGAAUUGACGG